UACGUAGGACGCGAGCGUUAUCCGGAUUUAUUGGGUUUAAAGGGUGCGUAGGCGGACCCAUAAGUCAGCGGUGAAAGACUGUCGCUUAACGAUAGCAUUGCCGUUGAUACUGUGGAUCUUGAGUACAGUUGAGGUAGGCGGAAUGUGUAGUGUAGCGGUGAAAUGCUUAGAUAUUACACAGAACACCGAUUGCGGAGGCAGCUUACUAAGCUGUAACUGACGCUGAUGCACGAAAGCGUGGGGAUCAAACAGG
rnacentral:rRNA from 1 species